CACGCACGCACGCACGCACGCACGCACGCACAUGCACAUACACACGGCAUACACACACGCAGUCCUUGAACAGUGGGGUGGGACAGAGACAUGCAAGCACGCACGCACGCACAGCUCCCAGAGCUGAAGAGGUCAGAAGCACCUUGGGCUUCCUUUUGCGCCUGCUGCCCUGCCUGCUUCCGUUUCAUUUUAGCCUCCUGACUUCCCUUCUCCUCAGGCUCUCUGAAAGACACAUCUCUCCACCUCUCUGUUUCUUUCCACUCCUUUCUCCCCUUCUCAGCCUUCUUGCCCUGUAUUUACCUUUGCCGUUUUUUUGAUGGGUAGGAUGGUUGAAGGCCCUGUGCUGUCCCAGGCAGGCUUUGAGGUGGUCCCAGCAGAGCCAGCUCUAAGGACAGUUGGUUUCUCCUUUCCGUGCUGAGCCCUCCAGGUGGCCUCACAAGAUGCAGGCUCAGAGGCCACGAUGGAUCAAAUCACCACGUGUUCCCACUUCUGCACCACGGGCUGCCUCUGUGGGAAAAGGAGGCCAUCA
rnacentral:lncRNA from 1 species